UCGAGAAUCUUCGGCAAUGGGCGCAAGCCUGACCGAGCGACGCCGCGUGGAGGAUGAAGGCCUUCGGGUUGUAAACUCCUGUCGAGGGGGAAGAAGGGUCGAAAGACCUUGACUUAUCCCUGGAGGAAGCACGGGCUAAGUUCGUGCCAGCAGCCGCGGUAAGACGAACCGUGCGAACGUUAUUCGGAAUCACUGGGCUUAAAGCGCGUGUAGGCGGGACGGCACGUCGGUCGCUGAAAUCCCCCGGCUCAACCGGGGAACGGGCGCCGAUACGACCGUCCUGGAGGGACGUAGGGGGACCUGGAACUUCCGGUGGAGCGGUGAAAUGCGUUGAGAUCGGAAGGAACGCCCGUGGCGAAAGCGAGGUCCUGGACGUUUUCUGACGCUGAGACGCGAAAGCCAGGGGAGCGAACG
rnacentral:rRNA from 1 species